CAGGGAUUGCCCUAGUAACGGCGAGUGAAGCGGCAACAGCUCAAAUUUGAAAUCUGGCCCUUGGGUCCGAAUUGUAAUUUGUAGAGGAUGUUUUUGGUGCGGUAUCUUCCGAGUUCCUUGGAACAGGACGCCUUAGAGGGUGAGAGCCCCGUACGGUUGAAUGCCUAGCCUUUGUAAAACUCCUUCGACGAGUCGAGUAGUUUGGGAAUGCUGCUCUAAAUGGGAGGUAAAUUUCUUCUAAAGCUAAAUACUGGCCAGAGACCGAUAGCGCACAAGUAGAGUGAUCGAAAGAUGAAAAGCACUUUGAAAAGAGGGUUAAAUAGCACGUGAAAUUGUUGAAAGGGAAGGAUUUAUGACCAGACUUUUUCUAGGCGAAUCAUCCGGUGUUCUCACCGGUGCACUUCGUUUAGUUUAGGCCAGCAUCGAUUUUCGGGGCGGGAUAAAAGCUUUAGGAAUGUGGCUCCCUCGGGAGUGUUAUAACCUAUUGUAUAAUACCGCCCUGGGGAUCGAGGUACGCGCUUCUGCAAGGAUGCUGGCGUAAUGGUUAUCAAUCACCCGUCUUGAAACACGGACCAAGGAGUCGAACAUUUGUGCAAGUGUUUGGGUGUUAAACCCUCACGCGUAAUGAAAGUGAACGGAGGUGAGAGCCCUUACGGGUGCAUCAUCGACCGAUCCUGAUGUCUUCGGAUGGAUUUGAGUAAGAGCAUAACUGUUCGGACCCGAAAGAUGGUGAACUAUGCGUGGAUAGGGUGAAGCCAGAGGAAACUCUGGUGGAGGCUCGCAGCGGUUCUGACGUGCAAAUCGAUCGUCAAAUCUGCGCAUGGGG
rnacentral:rRNA from 3 species